UACGGGGGGGGCAAGCGUUGUUCGGAAUUACUGGGCGUAAAGGGCUCGUAGGCGGCCAACUAAGUCAGACGUGAAAUCCCUCGGCUUAACCGGGGAACUGCGUCUGAUACUGGAUGGCUUGAGAUUGGGAGAGGGAUGCGGAAUUCCUGGUGUAGCGGUGAAAUGCGUAGAUAUCUGGAGGAACACCGGUGGCGAAGGCGGCAUCCUGGACCGGUAUUGACGCUGAGGCGCGAAAGCCAGGGGAGCAAACGGG
rnacentral:rRNA from 1 species